CGCCUACGGGGGGCAGCAGUGGGGGAUAUUGCACAAUGGGGGAAACCCUGAUGCAGCGACGCCGCGUGAGCGAUGAAGUAUUUCGGUAUGUAAAGCUCUAUCAGCAGGGAAGAAAAUGACGGUACCUGACUAAGAAGCCCCGGCUAACUACGUGCCAGCAGCCGCGGUAAUACGUAGGGGGCAAGCGUUAUCCGGAUUUACUGGGUGUAAAGGGUGCGUAGGUGGCAGGGCAAGUCAGAUGUGAAAGCCCGGGGCUCAACCCCGGUACUGCAUUUGAAACUGUCCAGCUGGAGUGCAGGAGAGGG
rnacentral:rRNA from 1 species